rnacentral:rRNA from 1 species
GCCUAGGAAUCUGCCUGGUAGUGGGGGACAACGUUUCGAAAGGAACGCUAAUACCGCAUACGUCCUACGGGAGAAAGCAGGGGACCUUCGGGCCUUGCGCUAUCAGAUGAGCCUAGGUCGGAUUAGCUAGUUGGUGAGGUAAUGGCUCACCAAGGCGACGAUCCGUAACUGGUCUGAGAGGAUGAUCAGUCACACUGGAACUGAGACACGGUCCAGACUCCUACGGGAGGCAGCAGUGGGGAAUAUUGGACAAUGGGCGAAAGCCUGAUCCAGCCAUGCCGCGUGUGUGAAGAAGGUCUUCGGAUUGUAAAGCACUUUAAGUUGGGAGGAAGGGCAGUCAGCGAAUACCUUGCUGUCUUGACGUUACCGACAGAAUAAGCACCGGCUAACUCUGUGCCAGCAGCCGCGGUAAUACAGAGGGUGCAAGCGUUAAUCGGAAUUACUGGGCGUAAAGCGCGCGUAGGUG